AAUCAACGCUGGCGGCGUGGAUAAGACAUGCAAGUCGAACGGGAUCAUUGAUGUAGCAAUACAGCGGUGGUCUAGUGGCGAACGGGUGCGUAACACGUGGAUACAUUCCGGGAAGCGGGGGAUAGCCCAGGGAAACUUGGAUUAAUACCGCAUGUGAUCGAGAGAUCAAAGACGGGGACCGCAAGGCCUGUCACUUCCCGAUUGGUCCGCGGCCUAUCAGCUAGUUGGCGGGGUAAAAGCCCACCAAGGCGACGACGGGUAGCUGGUCUGAGAGGACGACCAGCCACACUGGAACUGAGACACGGUCCAGACACCUACGGGUGGCAGCAGUCGAGAAUCUUUCACAAUGGGGGCAACCCUGAUGGAGCGACGCCGCGUGGAGGAUAAGGUCUUCGGAUUGUAAACUCCUGUCAUGCGUGAACAAGGCAGCCGGGCUAAUAACCUGAGCUGAUUGAUGGUAACGCAAGAGGAAGAGACGGCUAACUCUGUGCCAGCAGCCGCCGUAAUAC
rnacentral:rRNA from 1 species